rnacentral:lncRNA from 1 species
GAGGAUGAGAUGGUUGCCUAGUCUAUUCUACUGUUGCUAUUGCUCCUGCUUUGCCACCCUGGGACUUGUGGUCCCUGUCAGUUGUCAUUUACAGCAUUGCUACAGAUAAGGACAUAUCAAAAUUGAACUCCCCAAGGUGAAUACCAUUGUAUUCUUAUUUAUAAUGUUUUUCUAUCUAUUGCAGUCCUUCCGCUUUUAAUAAAUCUGUGAAUGAUUGUGAAUCA